UCCAGUAUAAGUGUAAAAGUAACUAGCAUCAGUCUCCUUUGUUUCCUGUAAGAAUAUUUUAACGGAUUGUUUUUCACAGCUCACCUUGAAUGAGAGUGUGUACUUGCAUGCUGAAUUUGUGAAAGGAGAUUAUAACAAUAGAGGUUUCAAUCCAGGAUAGCACUUGCAUUUGUGCUUUAAGAAUGGGCACUUUGGUAACCAGCCAGAGCAUCUUUAUGACUGACCCUUGCCCCAGUGCUGAAGCAGCUGCAAGGACCUGGACCUGGGCUCCAUGCAGUGGAAAACGAGGAUCCUUGCUUAUAACACCAGUAGUUCCAGCACCCCCUGUUUCUCCGCUGCUAUAUUUUCAGCUGUCCUGCCAGUGCUGGCCACCCGGGCUGCCCUGAGUUAGGGGAAGGAAAAGUUGGUAGAAGCAAAAGACCAGGCCUUUUUCAUCUUUGUAACUAUAAACAUCAACACUUACUAGCAUGGUUUGUGAAUGGUUUUUCAUUUAUCAGGCAGCUGAACAUUGCUGGAGUGUAAGUACUUCCACCUCUUUGUCUUUGGAGUAAAAACAAGAGUGUUUAAAAUCUUGCCAAAUCAGCCAAUGUAAUGUCAGGAAUUUAAUUCAUUGGGAUUGUUUGGCAGGGCCUCAUUUACCUGGGUUCAUUAUAAUUGUAAUUAAAGGACAUUUGUUUGUUUGUUAAUUGCAUGCACCAUAUGAAUUCAAUUGAAAGGGUGCUGAUAUUGUAUCCUAUUAAAAUAGUCUAUAUUGUCUUGACAUAUGAAACAGUUCAAUUAGACUUAUUACAAAUAUGCCCAAAGACACCAAAGAGUUUUUCUAUUCCAUUUGACCGACAAGGCUGAAUUGGCCAUUGUAGUGCUAGAUGGCUGCAGCUCCUACUCUGCAUCCUGUUUUUUCAAAGCAGUAUGUGGUUUCUAUUUCCCUGGCACUACACUGUUGUUAUGAUUGUAUGAGACAAUUCCUAGCUUAAAAAAGGCAGCAAGUCAGGGCAUUAAAAUUAAAGGGGAAAAAUCUACACAAACCACUUAAGCACACUCAUUAUUAUGGCCCUUGCUACCUCGGGCCACUGGAGAACUUAUAAUUUAGUCAGCAUUAUGCAGUUUGAAGUAUUUUAUGUUCUGCAUGGGAGCAGGCUGCA